UACGUAGGGUGCGAGCGUUAAUCGGAAUUAUUGGGCGUAAAGCGUGCGUAGGCGGUUCGUUAAGUCAGCUGUGAAAGCCCCGGGCUCAACCUGGGAACUGCGGUUGAAACUGGCGAACUAGAAUCUGGCAGAGGGGGGUGGAAUUCCACGUGUAGCAGUGAAAUGCGUAGAGAUGUGGAGGAACACCGAUGGCGAAGGCAGCCCCCCUGGGCUGAGAUUGACGCUCAGGCACGAAAGCGUGGGGAGCAAACAGG
rnacentral:rRNA from 1 species